GAAAAGAAGAAAAAAUGGAAAAGGGGAAAGAAAUAAAUAAAUAAAACUCCCACUCUUGCCCAGCUUGGGCACAGACUAGCCAACCUAGGCCCAGCUGCCCUCGAUCCUUUUUCUCCCCCAGCCGCCUUGCCCCUCACGUUCCUCUGUUGCAGCACACCCAGGAAGAGAAGAAGAAGGAAGAAGGAAGAAGGAGGCCUGUAGCACACUAAACCAGGAAGAAAAGGGAGGAAGGAGAGGAAGAAAUCGGUUGAUUGGCCUUUCCUCGACCUGCGCAUGCCCUCCCCCUCAAUUUUCCCUGUGAUAUGGUUGUAGUUCCCUUGGUUUUUAUCAUCUUUGGGUGCUGUCAUGGUGGUGCAGCAAGGGGUGGAGGCUGGGAGGUGCUGCAGUGAAGGAAGGGGAAGGAGAAGGAAAGAAGAUCGCUAGAUCUCGCUGUGGGUGCUAGGUCGUCCUUGAGCAUGCUUGGGAAGGUAGAGUAGCAUGACACCAUUACGCAAGUCUUCAUGAGUUUUACUAUUUUUUUGUUGUAAUAAGUUAGAGGAAUUUAAUUGUUUCUUUCUCUCAGUCAUUGAGGACUAUACUUUAAUUAUCACAUCCUAAAAUUCUAAUUACGUAAUUAAGUAUGCAUGAGUAUCAUUGCAUGUAAUUAUUGGUAUUUGUUUA